rnacentral:rRNA from 1 species
CGGCUCAGUAACACGUGGAUAACCUACCCUCAGAUCUGGGAUAACUCCGGGAAACUGGAGAUAAUACCGGAUAAUCCGUGAACGCUGGAAUGCCUUACGGUUGAAAGCUUUAGCGUCUGAGGAUGGGUCUGCGGCCGAUUAGGUAGUUGCUGGGGUAACGUCCCAACAAGCCGAUAAUCGGUACGGGUUGUGAGAGCAAGAGCCCGGAGAUGGAUUCUGAGACACGAAUCCAGGUCCUACGGGGCGCAGCAGGCGCGAAAACUUUACACUGCGCGAAAGCGCGAUAAGGGGACCUCGAGUGCGUGCGCAAAGCGUACGCUUUUCAGAUGCCUAAAAAGCAUCUGGAAUAAGGGCCGGGCAAGACCGGUGCCAGCCGCCGCGGUAACACCGGCGGCUCAAGUGGUGGCCGCUAUUAUUGGGCUUAAAGGGUCCGUAGCCGGACCAGUUAGUCCCUUGGGAAAUCUUACGGCUUAACCGUAAGGCUGCCAAUGGAUACUGCUGGUCUUGGGACCGGGAGAGGCAAGAGGUACCUCAGGGGUAGGAGUGAAAUCCUGUAAUCCUUGAGGGACCGCCAGUGGCGAAGGCGUCUUGCUAGAACGGGUCCGACGGUGAGGGACGAAAGCUAGGGGCACGAACCGGAUUAGAUACCCGGGUAGUCCUAGCCGUAAACGAUGCGAGCUA